UAUAUUUUCCUUCCAUGUCUUCAUGGCAAGUACUUCAUUUUCUACCUGACCUAUAAAUUCAGGUGAUUUUAAGGAUUCGGUACCAUGUCUUCCUGGAUCUGUGUUUCUUAGGAUGCACUGACCAGUUUUUCUUAAAUGGUCCAUUUCUCUCCAUCUCCACUUCCACAUCCUGGUGGAACCCACCAAAACCUCUCACCUUAUGACUUCUUAGCCUCCCAACAAGCUCCUAGAUUAUUCUGUUGUCAUCUAUGGGCUUCUUUGAUCUAUUGGUAGCUCAGGAUCAGGGUUAUCUUUUUAUUUUAUGAAUUAUUUCAGAUUACCCCUGACUAUAAUCUUUAAAUGUCAUUCCAUUGUCGUAUCUAUAAACCCCAGGCUUCUCAGUUUGGUCUACAAUGUUCUCCAUGACCCAUCCCUGGCUUUCAUCCCCACCCCCAUCUGUAGUGCCCUCACACUUGACUGUUAAGCUCCAUUCAUGUGGUCUUAACUAACUGAAAGUUAUUUAAAGAUGCUGAAAAACUCUUUCCCAUCCUAGAGAGUUUAAGCACAGGAUUCCAUAACGUUCCAUUCUGUUCUGGAAUGCUCACUUCAUAAUUCUUCAGCUCUUUUGUGAUGAAUUUGUUUUCAUGCUUCAAAUAUCACUUGCACAGCCAGACCUUUCAUAAACACUCUCCCUAACGAUUUUCCUAUUAUGGUACUUACAUCACACCGUUCUUUCACUUCAUCACAUGUUUUCAGAGCCGUGUAUCUACCGUGCGGCUGGAACCCAGGAGAGAGAUCGCCAAGGCUGCAUUCCAGAAGGACCACUCUCAGCAGCGAGAAGUGGGUGUGGAUGGGGCAAAGCUAGAAAUCGAACACCAGUUACCCAGUCACAUGCUGGACCAGCAGUCAAGGCAAGAGGCAAAGGAAGUCUGCUACGCUCCGCCAGCACGGCUCAUACGAGUCCAAACACAGCCUUAAAACACCCAUGAUCCGGAGGAAGACAGAUUUACAACAGGACCGCGAAGUGGGAGUCAGAUGAAAGGGAGUCUGGAUUCCAUCUGGGCCUCUGCUCCCUGGUUUCCCCCAAGUAUCCUGAAACUCAUCUUCCCCAAAGGCGUCUUUGCUCAUCUUUACUAAAAUGGACCAUCUUU
rnacentral:lncRNA from 1 species